rnacentral:rRNA from 1 species
GACGAACGCUGGCGGCGUGCUUAACACAUGCAAGUCGAACGGACAGGCCCUGCUUUUGUGGGGUGCUCGAGUGGCGAACGGGUGAGUAACACGUGAGUAACCUGCCCUUGACUUUGGGAUAACUUCAGGAAACUGGGGCUCAUACCGGAUAGGAGCUCCUGCUGCAUGGUGGGGGUUGGAAAGUUUCGGCGGUUGGGGAUGGACUCGCGGCUUAUCAGCUUGUUGGUGGGGUAGUGGCUUACCAAGGCUUUGACGGGUAGCCGGCCUGAGAGGGUGACCGGCCACAUGGGGACUGAGAGACGGCCCAGACUCCUACAGGAGGCAGCAGUGGGGAAUAUUGCACAAUGGGCGGAAGCCUGAUGCAGCAACGCCGCGUGCGGGAUGACGGCCUUCGGGUUGUAAACCGCUUUCGCCUGUGACGAAGCGUGAGUGACGGUAAUGGGUAAAGAAGCACCGGCUAACUACGUG